rnacentral:rRNA from 1 species
GAUGAACGCUGGCGGCGUGCCUAAUACAUGCAAGUCGAGCGAACAGAUGAGGAGCUUGCUCCUCUGACGUUAGCGGCGGACGGGUGAGUAACACGUGGAUAACCUACCUAUAAGACUGGGAUAACUUCGGGAAACCGGAGCUAAUACCGGAUAAUAUAUUGAACCGCAUGGUUCAAUAGUGAAAGACGGUUUUGCUGUCACUUAUAGAUGGAUCCGCGCCGCAUUAGCUAGUUGGUAAGGUAACGGCUUACCAAGGCAACGAUGCCUAGCCGACCUGAGAGGGGGCGCGCCCCCCCUGUCCGUGAGCCACGGUCCGUCCGCCUCGGGGGGGCAGCAGUGGGCUUUUCUCCCCACUGGCCGAACGCCUGACGGCGCCCCCCCGCGUGAGUGCUGAGGUUCUUCGUAUCUUAACACUGUGUUAUUGGGGAAAAAAAAAUGUGUAAUUACCUUUCCACGUCUGCAGCUCCCCUAAUCAAAAACCCACCCCUAACUCCCUC